rnacentral:rRNA from 1 species
UACAGAGGUCUCAAGCGUUGUUCGGAUUCAUUGGGCGUAAAGGGUGCGUAGGCGGCGCGGUAAGUCGGGUGUGAAAUCUCGGGGCUUAACUCCGAAACUGCAUUCGAUACUGCCGUGCUUGAGGACUGGAGAGGAGACUGGAAUUUACGGUGUAGCGGUGAAAUGCGUAGAUAUCAGGAAGAACACCCGUGGCGAAGGCGGCUCUCUGGGACGGUACUGACGCUGAGACGCGAAAGCGUGGGGAGCGAACAGGG